rnacentral:lncRNA from 1 species
UCUUUGUACUUUGAAAAAAAAAUUAAGCCAAAGGAAAAAAAAAAACCUUCCUUUCCCAGUCAAAUAUACUAGCAAACAAGAAGCUGUUAGAAAACAAUUCUCGCUGGUGUAGAUUUUGUCCUGUUUUGGUUGUGAGGAUGAGGGGCUGGUGUGGAUCAACAGUCCUGAGGGGGAAGCAGGAAUCCCAGAAGACGGAGGGUCAGGCUGGGGAAUGCAGUUCUGGAAGCUGAGAGCAGAGUGCCCAGUCCUUUCACAUCAGGUAUGAGUCAAACGCCAGGACAGGGGUGUGGUAAAGGUCAGGCACCAGGACAUCCAGGGACAGAAGCCAGCAGACAAGUGAGGCUGCAGGGGAGGCCAGGGUCAUGUGGGUCAUUCUGGGAUGGAAGCUGAUAGGUGGGAGAGUGGAGAAAGCAGGCAGGUAGGGCUCGCAGCCAGGUGAGGGUUCAGAGUGGGCGUAUAUGAGCCUCAGUUCUAAGACCUCUGGAUCCAAGCUGUCAUCAACCGUGAAAGUCAGACAUAGAAGUUGCCAGUGACUUUGGAGCCUCCCAAAGGAAGGGACCCAAGUAGGGGAGGUCCUGGGGUGGCAGAGUUUUGAGAAGUUAUGUGGCAGAGAGCCUGUGCAUGAGGGAGAAAGGGUGAUGUAAAGGGUUAACCUCUGAAACCAGAGGCAUGGAUGAAGGCUGAGCCUCUCUUGCAGCCUAGGAACUUGAGAAAUGAGUUAUGGACAGUUCAGUUUGCCAUAGUGCUGCAUUCAGGAGCUUCUGUCCAAGACACAAAGCCUGGCUGGCCUGUCAUUUCUUAAUAAUCCAGCAAGCUUCCAGGACUGACUUCAUCCUUCUGUCCAUUCAAUCAUCCAUCCAUCCACUUACCCAUCCAUCUAUCCAAAGGGGCACAAGGACACUUUUAGGGCUGAUGGAUGUGUUCACUGUCUUGACUGCUAUGAUGGUUUUAUGGGUGUGUACAUGUGUUAGAACUGGUAAAGUGGUAUACUUUAAAUGUGUGCAUGUGAGUGUACCUUAAUUAUAUUUCAAUAAAGUUGGAAAAAAGGAAGGUAAAUAACAGUAGGUCAAAACUGAUAACACCCCACAUUAUCCAUGGACAAGACAAUGGAUAAGCUGUGGAAUAUCCAUACAAUGGAAUACUGCUCAGCAGUAGAAAGGAACAAAUUGCUCAAAUAUACGACAACAUGGACCAUCUCACACAUGAAUGCUGAUCAAAAGACGUCAGAUGCGACAAUCAUUCUGUACAGUUCCAUUUAUAUACACUUCAAAAACAGAGAAAACAGGCCUGGCAUGGUGGCUUAUGCCUAUAAUUCUAGCACUUUGGGAGGCCA